UUGCACGCUGGCGGCAUGCCUUACACCUGCAAGUCGCACGGUAACAGGUUAAGCUGCCGAGUGGCGAACGGGUGAGUAAUGUAUCGGAACGUGCCCAGUCGUGGGGGAUAACUGCUCGAAAGAGCAGCUAAUACCGCAUACGACCUGAGGGUGAAAGCGGGGGAUCGCAAGACCUCGCGCGAUUGGAGCGGCCGAUAUCAGAUUAGGUAGUUGGUGAGGUAAAGGCUCACCAAGCCGACGAUCUGUAGCUGGUCUGAGAGGACGACCAGCCACACUGGGACUGAGACACGGCCCAGACUCCUACGGGAGGCAGCAGUGGGGAAUUUUGGACAAUGGGCGCAAGCCUGAUCCAGCCAUGCCGCGUGCGGGAAGAAGGCCUUCGGGUUGUAAACCGCUUUUGUCAGGGAAGAAAAGGUUCUGGCUAAUACCUGGGACUCAUGACGGUACCUGAAGAAUAAGCACCGGCUAACUACGUG
rnacentral:rRNA from 1 species